CGGCGACUUAUAGGUAGUGGCAGGUUAAGGUAGUGAAUACCGAAGCCAUAGUGAAAGCGAGCCUGAAUAGGGCGAUUGUCACUAGUUAUAGACCCGAACCCGGAUGAUCUAACCAUGGUCAGGUUGAAGCUUAGGUAAUACUAAGUGGAGGACCGAACCGACUGAUGUUGAAAAAUCAGCGGAUGAAUUGUGGUUAGGGGUGAAAUGCCAAUCGAAUUCGGAGCUAGCUGGUUCUCCCCGAAAUGCGUUUAGGCGCAGCGGUGAAUGUUAUAAUUUAGGGGUAAAGCACUGUUACGUAUGCGGGCUGGUAAUUCGGUACCAAAUCGUUGCAAACUAAGAAUACUAAAUGUACAGUUCACCAGUAAGACUGUGGGGGAUAAGCUCCAUUGUCAAGAGGGAAACAGCCCAGAGCACCAGUUAAGGCCCCCAAAUAAUUGCUAAGUGGUAAAGGAGGUGGGAUUGCAGAAACAAUCAGGAGGUUUGCUUAGAAGCAGCAACCCUUUAAAGAGUGCGUAAUAGCUCACUGAUCGAGUAAACCUGCGCCGAAAAUGAACGGGACUAAGUAAUUUGCCGAAACUGUGCGAUAUAUUAAAAUAUAUCGGUAGGGGAGCGUUCUGUUGUAGGUCGAAGUAUUAGCGUAAGCGGAUAUGGACGAAGCAGAAGUGAGAAUGUCGGCUUGAGUAACGAAAAUAUAGGUGGGAAUCCUAUACCCCGAAAACCCAAGGUUUCCUCCGGAAGGCUCGUCCGCGGAGGGUAAGUCAGGACCUAAGGCGAGGCUGAAAAGCGUAGUCGAUGGACAACGGGUUAAUAUUCCCGUACCAUUUUUUAUGCGAUAUCGAGGGACGGAGAAGGCUAAGCUAGCCGGAUAUUGGUUACCGGUUUAAACGUUCGAGAUGUUGAGAAGCGGAGAAAACGCUUUGAGUUGAGACGUGAGUACGAGACGCUAAGGCGUCGAAGUAGUGUAUGUCAUACUUCCAAGAAAAGCUUGCACUGUCAUUCAUAAAAAAUGCCUGUACCAUAACCGACACAGGUGGGUAGGUAGAGUAUACUAAGGGGCGCGAGAUAACUCUCUCUAAGGAACUCGGCAAAAUAACUCCGUAACUUCGGGAGAAGGAGUGCCUUAUUUAUAUAAGGUUGCAAUAACAAGAUCCAAGCAACUGUUUACCAAAAACACAGGUCUCCGCUAAGUCGCAAGACGAUGUAUGGGGGCUGACGCCUGCCCAGUGCCAGAAGGUUAAAGAAGUUGGUUAGCAAUAGCGAAGCUAGUAACUGAAGCCCUGGUGAACGGCGGCCGUAACAAUAACGGUCCUAAGGUAGCGAAAUUCCUUGUCGGGUAAGUUCCGACCCGCACGAAAGGCGUAAUGAUUUGGAUACUGUCUCGGAGAGGGACUCGGUGAAAUAGACUUGUCUGUGAAGAUGCGGACUACCUGCACCAGGACAGAAAGACCCUAUGAAGCUUUACUGUAACUUGAAAUUGAAAUUGGACUUUAUUCGCGCAGUAUAGGUGGGAGGCAUUGAAAAUAAUCUUGCGGGAAUAUUGGAGCCAUCAGUGAGAUACCACUCUUGUAAUGUUAGAUUUCUAACUUUGAAUCAUUAUCUGGUCAAAGAACAGUUUCAGGCGGGCAGUUUGACUGGGGCGGUCGCCUCCCAAAUGGUAACGGAGGCGUACAAAGGUUUCCUCUGAACGGGUAGAAAUCGUAUCUAGAGUGUAAAGGCAAAAGGAAGCUUGACUGUGAGACCUACAAGUCGAGCAGGGACGAAAGUCGGUCUUAGUGAUCUGACGGUACUGAGUGGAAAGGCCGUCACUCAACGGAUAAAAGUUACUCUAGGGAUAACAGGCUGAUCUCCCCCAAGAGUUCACAUCGACGGGGAGGUUUGGCACCUCGAUGUCGGCUCAUCGCAUCCUGGGGCGGUAGUACGUCCCAAGGGUUGGGCUGUUCGCCCAUGAAAGCGGUACGCGAGCUGGGUUCAGAACGUCGUGAGACAGUUCGGUCCAUAUCCGGUGUAGGCGUUAGAAUAUUGAGAGGAGCCUUCUUUAGUACGAGAGGACCGAGAAGGACAUACCUCUGGUGUACCAGUUAUCGUGCCAACGGUAAACGCUGGGUAGCUAUGUAUGGAGUGGAUAACCGCUGAAAGCAUCUAAGUGGGAAGCCCACCUCAAGAUGAGUAUUCUCAUCACGUAAGUGAGUAAGGUCACGGUAAGACUAACCGUUUGAUAGGCAUUAAGUAUAAGUGCAGUAAUGUAUGUAGCUGAGAUGUCCUAACAGACCGAGGACUUG
rnacentral:rRNA from 14 species